UUUUUUGGUGCUUUCCAUAAAAAUGAAGUGGAUCUCUCGAGUAUCAACUCUGCUUUUAUUACCCUGCUGCCUAAAAAGGACACGCCUCUGGAAAUGCAAGAUUUCAGGCCUACUUCUCUUGUGCAUAGUGUACCUAAACUGGCCUCUAAGGUUCUGGCUAGUCGGCUCAAAAUAUGGAUUCCACAUUUGAUUCACACACUUCAGUCUGGGUUUCUAAAGGGAUGA
rnacentral:rRNA from 1 species